AAUUUCCCUUGCAUUUUGUAAGACGUGAACUGAACCGUCAUAGCUUAUUGCCCUAAUUUUCAUCCACUGCUCCCAAAUUUGCCCCCUACUUCAAGAUUCUUCGAUUUUUCCUUCAGUUUCUUGGAAUUACCAUCAUCUCUUCCACAUCCGUUCCGAGUUUUUGUUUGCAUUGAAGACCCGUCAGUUACCUCAUUCAAUACAAGUAUACAACGAUUGAAGGAGCAAUCAGUGAUGCUUUCGUCUUUACAUUUUCUUUUCCGUUUUCGAAUUACCCCUAUUUCUUCUCCAGAUGUUCUCCCUUCGCAUCAACGAUUCAAGAAACCCUCUCAACAUGGUCAUUCAAGAUUCGAUUGCUGGAGAAGUAGAAAAGAUUUGAAUCUAGCGGAUUUGUUGCAGAUUUAAGAUCACUCAUUAUGUGAGACUUCAUAUGGCUUAGUUGAUGUUUUUCCUGUUGAAGAUCGCAAAAGUGUGCUUUGUGAGUCGCUCACCGAGAUCAACGUGCAUGUCGUUGCAGCCCAAAGUAGUGGAGUUAUCUUAAUCACGACUUCAUGGCACAUCAUCUAAUACGCCAGCCACACUCUCCGAGUUGCGACGACAACAACACCACAACCUCCGCACCGGUUCUGUUCUCUUGGCCACAAGAAUUCCAACGAACUACACCGGUGACAACCGGGCAUUGAUCAGAGGUAAUACUGCUAUCUUUGUACUCCUCUUGAUUAUAUUGUUAUUAAUUCAUUGCCUCUCCAUAUAAACAUAGGAACAUCAUAUGGAUUCGAAGUGUUGUGUUUUUGAGAUAAAGAUGCUUGGCUGUUUGUACACUAGCACAUCAUCCACAUGCACAUAACUUACUUGGUAUCUCUAUUCUCGAGUCUACUGUUAUAAAAUAUGAUUUUACUUUGAAACAAAGACAGAUAUUGGUCUCAAACUUAAAUAAAAAGGAAUUCUGCAACUUUUAUAUAUAUAUAGAGAGAGAUAUAUAUAUAUAUAUAUUAUUAUUAUUAUUAUUUCUAUUUUUAUCAUUUAACUCCUGCUCGUGUACAACAUAUAAAUUUGAUUUGAUUUGCGAUAUUUUAAAACAAUAUAUUGUUUUAUUGUUAAUUUAGUUUAUACAAAUCUAUACAUUGAUAGUUAUAAAGUAGGGUGCGAAGAUGGUAAAAAUGUUAGAAUCAUUGUUUUUGGAAUAUAUUGGCUUUUAAAAAAAGAGUUAAAUGUCAUUUUACUCCCUGUGUUUUAAGCCAUUUUGCCAGUUUAGUCCGAAGGUUUUAUUUUUCGUUGAAGUGAGUUUACUCGGUCACCUGCAUUGUAAUAGACUAUUAGCAGCUGUAGUGAUACAUUACCAUAUUAUGUUCAGCUGUCUCAUUUUGAGAAUUUGUUUUGGUUACAUGAUAGGCGUGUGCUUUUGGCAUGCAUAAUACAUACAUAUAUCAUGAAAACUGUAUACCCCUUAAAAGUUAAGGACAUGCAGGUGGGUCAUAUCUUGAAGGCGUAAGUGUCGAAUUGGUUGAUUCUGAUCUACAAUAUUUGCAUCUGUUACACGUUUAGCUUAUUUUUUGUAUAUUAUGUGUUUGCCGUGUUCUAGCUUUACUACAGUCUAAAUUAACCCGCUUGAAUACAUGACUUUAGACUUAUAUCAUAGGAGGUUGAAGUGCUUUGUAUUUAUUAUAAAGAGUGAUUACAUU